GACGACGACGACGACGACGACGACGACGACGACGACGACGACGACGACGACGACGACGACGACGACGACGACGACGACGACGACGACGACGACGACGACGACGACGACGACGACGACGACGACGACGACGACGACGACGACGACGACGACGACGACGACGACGACGACGACGACGACGACGACGACGACG
rnacentral:sRNA from 1 species